AUGGAGCACUCUGAUCCAGCCAUGCCGCGUGUAGGAAGACUGCCCUAUGGGUUGUAAACUACUUUUAUAGAGGAAGAAAUGGCACUACGUGUAGUGUUUUGACGGUACUCUACGAAUAAGGAUCGGCUAACUCCGUGCCAGCAGCCGCGGUAAUACGGAGGAUCCAAGCGUUAUCCGGAAUCAUUGGGUUUAAAGGGUCCGUAGGCGGGUUUGUAAGUCAGUGGUGAAAGUUUUCGGCUCAACCGGAAAAUUGCCAUUGAUACUGCAAGUCUUGAAUCAUUGUGAAGUGGUUAGAAUGUGUAGUGUAGCGGUGAAAUGCAUAGAUAUUACACAGAAU
rnacentral:rRNA from 1 species